CUUCAUACUCUCUCUUAUUCUUUCACCUUUAUGCUUUUCACUAUUUUUUUCUCAUCUGGAAUGUCUUUUCCUCCCUUUUCAUAUCCCUUAUUUAUAGGAGUGGGGAGCCACGAGGGAAAGGUUGCCACCAUUCCAUCUUUCUAUUUCAUUUAAAAGUUGUCACCUUUCAUCAUGUCGCUUUAAUUAAAAGGUUACCACUCUUCGCAUGGUGUUUUAUCUAAAAGGCCUUUUCACAUGUCACUUCAUCUAAAAGGUUACCACUUUUCACAUG
rnacentral:lncRNA from 1 species